rnacentral:rRNA from 1 species
UGCGCAGGCGGCCGUGUGUGUCAGGUGUGAAAUCCCGGGGCUUAACCCCGGAACUGCGCCUGAAACUACAUGGCUAGAGUAUUGGAGAGGGUAGCGGAAUUCACGGUGUAGCAGUGAAAUGCGUAGAUAUCGUGAGGAACACCAGAGGCGAAGGCGGCUACCUGGACAAUUACUGACGCUCAGGCACGAAAGCGGUGGGGAGCAAAAGGGAUUAGAUACCCCUGUAGUCCACGCCCUAAACGGUGCACACUAGGUCUUGGCGGAUUCCGACCCCACCAGGGCCCAAGCUAACGCGUUAAGUGUGCCGCCUGAGGACUACGGCCGCAAGGCUAAA